UACGUAGGGGGCAAGCGUUGUCCGGAAUCAUUGGGCGUAAAGCGCGUGUAGGCGGUUCGAUAAGUCUGCUGUGAAAGUCCAGGGCUCAACCCUGGGAUGCCGGUGGAUACUGUCGGGCUAGAGUGCGGAAGAGGCGAGUGGAAUUCCUGGUGUAGCGGUGAAAUGCGCAGAUAUCAGGAGGAACACCAAUUGCGAAGGCAGCUCGCUGGGACGUUACUGACGCUGAGACGCGAAAGUGUGGGGAGCAAACAGG
rnacentral:rRNA from 1 species